GUGAAGCUCCCAUGGCUAGAAAUAUCUGGCAGCUGGAAAACUCAUCUGAAAAAAAGUCUGUCAGUCUAACUUCAGAUACUUAAAAUGCAAACCUAUACAGUGCUAGUACAAAUCUAAAGUGGCUGUAGCCUGUAUCUUGUGGUGGACAAACCAGGAAUUCUGGUGAACUGAUCACAUUACUGCCUAACAAUUCCCCUGCCUGGUUUCACAGCUUAAUAAGAUGCUACUAGGAAGUUAAACAGAGAUCUUCUGCCACACAAGAAUUCCUUCUUCCCCCAAGGAUUGUUUCUCCAACUGUGCUGUUUUCUUCCAGCAGAGCCAGGCCUUGCUCCUUGACAGACAUAAAACCUCAGUUCACACAGCCUAACCACAACACCAACAACCUCCUCUCUUGUCUAACAAAUCUGCCUCAGACAUUUUCACCAAAAGGCAAAGGUGCCUGCUCACAGGUAAUUAAAGAAGAGGCUUCUAAAUGAGGCUUUACACAGAGCAGCCAAGCAGAAUGGCUCAGAGUUCUGAAACUGAUGUUUACAAUCCCAAGAGAAUUUGCUCAAAGCUGGUAUCUGGGAAAGCUUUUAUGCCUCAGAGAGCAACGGCCAGAGCAGACAGAAAUAGUAGUAGGCUUAUAUGUUCAAACUUAUAUAAAUGAUCGUCUUUUCUGUUUCAUGUGUCUUUGUAUCUAAUACAAUGAACACAUGCUCUGCCCUGUCGAGAAGGCAGGAUUUCUGAAAGGGAAGACCUCAUCUUAACGCAGCCCCUUUUUGUGCUCAAAGAAAAGCUAGAGAUGAGAAAAGCAAGAAGAGGAAUGGAAGGAAAGAAAAUGCAAACCCUUCAUAAUGAUGCAUUCCGCCUAACUGAUUCCUCUCACCACCAAUAGUUCUCAAGGCCUCUGUUUGGGGGUGAAGGACUUGGAUAACACACCCCACUCCCCAAUAUAAAGGAGAUCUGAGUUUCAAAAUGAUGAGGAACAAUACAUCUGGCUGCAGCCAAGGUGAAAAAACACAGCAUUUUAAAAUAAGAUUUUUUUU